GUAACGCGUGAGAAUCUGCCUUCAGGUCUGGGACAACCACUGGAAACGGUGGCUAAUACCGGAUGUGCCGAGAGGUGAAAGGUUAACUGCCUGAAGAUGAGCUCGCGUCUGAUUAGCUAGUAGGUAGUGUAAAGGACUACCUAGGCGACGAUCAGUAGCUGGUCUGAGAGGACGAUCAGCCACACUGGGACUGAGACACGGCCCAGACUCCUACGGGAGGCAGCAGUGGGGAAUUUUCCGCAAUGGGCGAAAGCCUGACGGAGCAAUACCGCGUGAGGGAGGAAGGCUCUUGGGUCGUAAACCUCUUUUCUCAGGGAAGAACACAAUGACGGUACCUGAGGAAUAAGCAUCGGCUAACUCCGUGCCAGCAGCCGCGGUAAUACGGAGGAUGCAAGCGUUAUCCGGAAUGAUUGGGCGUAAAGCGUCCGCAGGUGGCUAUGUAAGUCUGCUGUUAAAGAGUCUAGCUCAACUAGAUAAGAGCAGUGGAAACUACAUGGCUAGAGUGCGUUCGGGGCAGAGGGAAUUCCUGGUGUAGCGGUGAAAUGCGUAGAGAUCAGGAAGAACACCGGUGGCGAAGGC
rnacentral:rRNA from 1 species